AACCUCUCCAAUAUGCCUCAGCCUGAAUCACACUGCACAUUCCAUGAGAGAAUCUUGCUAGCACAUUUGCCAUGAAGCUGAAAGACAACAAGAUGUGGAACUCUCAGCUCCUCCAACAACAUGCUUGCCUGGACACUGCUGUUCUCCUGCCAUGAUGAUAAUAGACUGAACCCCUGAACCAAUCAGGCAGCCCCAAUUAAAUGUAGUCCUUUAUAAGAGUUGCCUUGGCCAUGAUAUCUUUUCAUCCUGACUGAAACAGGGAAGCAAAGAGGAGCAGGGGAAGAAGUAGGGGAAUGAGACCUCUCCCUAAAAAGCAAUAUUAAAAAGUGAAGAAUGAAAGAAAAUGAACUUCCUUCUGAGAAGACAUGAAAUGCUAUGGUUUUCUUUCUUUAAACAGCAGAAAUAUAUUGUCUCACUACUGUGGAAGCAGGAAUCCUAAUGUUUUAAUGGGGUUAAAGGAGUUAGUAAGAAAAGAUAUUUUUUAGGUCCUUCAUGAUUUCCUUUGCAGUGCCUGCCAGGGAACUCAUUGUGUCUCUUACUAUCAUUCUUCCCUCUGCAUGUCUAUCUCUUUGUCCACAUGCUCAAAUUUCCUUUCUUUAUAAGUUUACCAGUAAUAUUUGAUUAGAGUCUAUCUCAGUGAUCACAUAAAUACAAAUACCUUAUGACACUUUUGUUACCAUUCUUGUUGUCAGAGGCAACCUGCAAGAAUAAAGCCUAAUAUGAACAGAUUAAGGUCUCAUGCAAGAGCAACCUUUACUCUGGGUAAAAAACAAUUCGUAUUCUGAGGCAUUCGGAAGAUUCAGCAAGUUUAUGAGCAAAGUUCAACCCAUGUUUGGAAACAAGCUAAAAAUAAAAGUAAGCAGCAGUGUGUAAUCUGAAGCAAACCUACUCCUAUUGACUAUACCAAAGAAGGGUACAAAACACAUUCCAAAACAAAUCAAAGUUAUAGAGGACAGAAGUUAUAAUACCUUUGUCUAUUUCACCUAGAGUUUUCUCAUGAGCUAUCAGAAAUCUUGUCACACAGUUUCAUUCUUAGACCAUGUUUCAAGAACUUCUACAUGAAGUUAUAUUGUAAGGUACUACAGAAUUAAUUGAAGCCUCAUCUCAAGAAUUAUUGGGAACACAUUUCAGUUCAAUAGUAACAUCUCUGAAAUUAACUUUGAAAUCUCUCGGCAUCCUUUUGGAUAAUUUCUCAUAGUAGAAUAUAGCAAAAGGCAGUUAAUAUAUGCUGAAUUAACAUUUUGAAAUAUUUUGACUACCCUAAAACAACAUGAAUAUAUGUACUGGUGUGGGAGAUUGAGUCAAUUUAGGAUAUUUUGCAAUCUAUGAAAUAUCUAAAUAUCAACAGUUAUUUCACUAUUUUUCUUCUUCAAAAUAUAAAAUAGCAGGUUUCCUCAUUGCAUUUUUAAUAUACACGUGGUCUCUCUGGAUCCUUCUACAGACCUCAGCUUUUCCCACAGCUCUCUGCUCUGAUUCCUGAUUAGCCACUCCCACUCAUACUGUAUGACCUUUUAUUUUUGCAUUUCACAUGUUUACUCACUAACAAAGUAUUUAACUGAUAAUUUUCUAUACUUGGGAAACAUUCAGAUAUCUAAUUCAGAAUAUUGACCUGAAAGAAAUUACCAUAUUGAUAGAACAGAUGUAUGAUUUUUACAAAGAGAAGUUGGUGAGACUUGAAAUGCCAUCACUUUUCAAGGAACAAGACUAACAACAACAAAACACCAUCUCCAUCAGACUCUUGGAAGAUGUUUCAUGUCAUUAUAUUUGAAGCAUCAGAUAAAACCCUAUAAACCAGAAAGAGUGAUGUUUUAGGCUGGUGUGACAAGUCAAGUGCAUCUUCUUAGGAACCUCUUACUUGUCAGUUUAUUUAUUUUCUGCACUUUUCCAUUUCUCACACAAAAGGAAGUAAAAAGUUUCUCUUGAUCCUGAACUUAGGUAUCAAAACUUUUGGCCCAUGUCAAGUCUGGCCACCUAUUUUCAAUGUGCCAAUAGUUCAGAUUAAAAGUAGAAAUC
ensembl:lincRNA Gm11228 predicted gene 11228